GGGAGAAUACAGAAAAUGUAUGAAAUGUGGCUAUGUUUUGAAAUACUUUAUAUAUGCCUUGUGUCAGAAAAGCCUAUCGUUGAAUAGUUAUGAUAAAACAACAAGCAAAUUAGUUAUUGUCUCUGUGAGUAGUUAAACCAGAAGUUUAAAAAGACAAAAAGUGCCUUGCUUCCCAAACUGUAUUUGAUGGCCUCACAAAAGCACUCACCGCAUCUUUUAUGGGAUGUUCACUGAGGCAGGAAGGGUGCGCAUUGGGUGGGUGAGCUGUGCCGUCCAGGUCAUCGUGUGCCUGGGAGAGGUCGACAGCCUGGGUUCAGGGAAGUCCCGAGACUCUCAGCUGGUUGGAGGACCUUAGCAGUGCUGGGAGUUAGUUUUGACUUUGCUUCUAGUUUUCUGUGUGAGUCAUCAUGUCCCUUAGUUCAUCGCCGUAAUCCCACAGAUGAAGGAUAGAAAUUAUC
rnacentral:lncRNA from 1 species